rnacentral:lncRNA from 1 species
CUGGAAAUCAGGUUUAAUUAUUAGCUAAUUGUCUGGGAUGUAUCUCAUUUGAAAGAAACGAAGAGAGGAAUGUUGUGAGGCUGUGGUUGGCGCAAGUGGAGCUGGUUAACUCCUGGUUAAGCUGGCAUAGGAACCUGUUAUCCUGCUCUCUAGGAGGGGUUCUGUGGUGUCCUGAUGCCUUUUUCAUCUGUGUGUCCACAAGAAUUGGUGGAUGUCACCUGCAGGCUGUCACCCACCAGGCCUUCUUGCUCGUGAACAAGGCUUUGGGGAUUUCCUGCCACAGUGCUUCAUGGGCUGAUGCCCUCAGGAAGACAGGAGUCAGGAAGCAGAAGAGCUGAGUCACCCCUCCAGAAGACAUUUCCCACCACAGAUGGAUGUUCUGCCAUGUGAUCCUGGUAUCUCUUUUUGCUGGAGGAGCUCCUGUGUCACUCCCAGGCCUGGGUGAGGGUGACAUUCCUCCAGUGGCAUUGCUACAGCAAAGGCAAACUCACCAUCAGUGUAUGCUGCAGAACAAGUAAAUCCUCUCUGUUUGGAAGCAUCCCUGUCUGCACUGAGACCUUGCCUUUGGAAGGUGAUAAUGUGAAAAACAUCCUGUGACGUUUUUGCAUUUGUUCUCUGGGAGCCAUCCAUCAUUUCUAGCACCGUGACUUCUGGGUGACUCCUCUGUGCUUCUCCCUGCCACUGUGUGCCAGCUUUGUGCCAAUAAUCUUGGAUGACAGUUAUGGAGGUCUAAAUUCAUCCCUCAUUUCUGUUAUAUAUUGCCUGUGAUUUAAAGCCACUUAAAUAUAUAUUGCCUGUGAUAUAAAGUCACUUAAUUGUCUUGUUUCUCUUCUGUAACAUAAUACUGCGUUUUUCCUCCCUGUCAUCUGCCUGCUCUCUGUGGAUCCAGGGAGAGCUCUCUUGGGUGCAGGUGUCUCAGCAGACUCUUUGGAACAAACAAACUACUUUAGGUGAUUAACUUCUGGAUUUGGAACUGAAGAUAUUUCAGUUUCCCUCAGUUCACUGCUAACCAGAGUGAGAUCUUCAUGAGACUUUCUGCAAUAUUUAAAUCCCAACUACUGGAGUUCACUGAUUUUGUGAGAAUCUUG